rnacentral:rRNA from 1 species
GUCCAGACUCCUACGGGAGGCAGCAGUGGGGAAUAUUGCACAAUGGGGGAAACCCUGAUGCAGCAACGCCGCGUGAGUGAAGAAGUAUUUCGGUAUGUAAAGCCCUAUCGGCAGGGAAGAAAUUGGACGGUACCUGACUAAGAAGCCCCGGCUAACUACGUGCCAGCAGCCGCGGUAAUACGUAGGGGGCAAGCGUUAUCCGGAUUCACUGGGUGUAAAGGGAGCGUAGACGGCCGUGCAAGCUUGGAGUGAAAGCCCGGGGCCCAACCCCGGGACUGCUCUGGGAACUGUGCGGCUGGAGUGCGGGAGGGGCAGGCGGAAUUCCUGGUGUAGCGGUGAAAUGCGUAGAUAUCAGGAGGAACACCGGCGGCGAAGGCGGCCUGCUGGACCGCGACUGACGUUGAGGCUCGAAAGCGUGGGGAGCAAACAGGAUUAGAUACCCCAGUA